CGGACGGGUGAGUAACGCGUGACCAAUCUGCCCAGCGGCAGGGGGUAGCCCGCGGAAACGCGGGGUAAUUCCGUAUGUGCGUCGUCCCCGAGUGGGGGGAUGACGGAAAGGCGCAAGCCGUCGCUGGAGGAGGCUGCGGCCGAUUAGCUAGCUGGUGGGGUAACGGCCUACCAGGGCGAUGAUCGGUAGCUGGUCUGAGAGGAUGAUCAGCCACACGGGGACUGAGACACGGCCCCGACUCCUACGGGAGGCAGCAGCAAGGAAUUUUCCGCAAUGGGCGCAAGCCUGACGGAGCAACGCCGCGUGCGGGAUGACGCGUUUCGGCGUGUAAACCGCUGUUCGGGGGGACGAAGCACUGACGGUACCCCCGGAGGAAGGCCCGGCUAACUACGUGCCAGCAGCCGCGGUAAUACGUAGGGGUCGAGCGUUGUCCGGAGUUACUGGGCGUAAAGCGUGCGCAGGCGGCUCAUCGCGCUCGGCGUGAAAGCCCCCGGCUCAACCGGGGAGGGUCGUCGAGGACGGAUGAGCUUGAGGGUAUCAGGGGUUGGUGGAAUUCCCGGUGUAGUGGUGAAAUGCGUACAGAUCGGGAGGAACACCCGUGGCGAAGGCGGCCAACUGGGAUACACCUGACGCUGAGGCACGAAGGCGUGGGGAGCGAAUGGGAUUAGAUACCCCAGUAGUC
rnacentral:rRNA from 1 species